CUACCAGGGUAUCUAAUCCUGUUUGCUCCCCACGCUUUCGCGCCUCAGCGUCAGUACCGGACCAGGUCGCCGCCUUCGCCACCGGUGUUCUUCCCAAUAUCUACGAAUUUCACCUCUACACUGGGAAUUCCACGACCCUCUUCCGAACUCAAGACAACAUGUAUCAAGCGCAGCCCCCAGGUUGAGCCCGGGAAUUUCACGCCUGACUGUGUCAUCCGCCUACGCGCCCUUUACGCCCAGUCAUUCCGAGCAACGCUAGCCCCCUUCGUAUUACCGCGGCUGCUGGCAC
rnacentral:rRNA from 1 species